AAUGAACGCUGGCGGCAGGCCUAACACAUGCAAGUCGAACGGAUCCUUCGGGAUUAGUGGCGGACGGGUGAGUAACGCGUGGGAACAUACCCUUUGGUACGGAAUAGCCUCGGGAAACUGGGAGUAAUACCGUAUGUGGUCGAGAGACGAAAGAUUUAUCGCCAAAGGAUUGGCCCGCGUUGGAUUAGGUAGUUGGUGGGGUAAUGGCCUACCAAGCCGACGAUACAUAGCUGGUUUGAGAGGAUGAUCAGCCACACUGGGACUGAGACACGGCCCAGACUCCUGCGGGAGGCAGCAUUGGGGAAUCUUAGACAAUGGGGGAAACCCUGAUCUAGCCAUGCCGCGUGAUCGAUGAAGGCCUUAGGGUUGUAAAGAUCUUUCAGGUGGGAAGAUAAUGACUGUACCACCAGAAGAAGCCCCGGCUAACUCCGUGCCAGCCGCCGCCGUAA
rnacentral:rRNA from 1 species